rnacentral:rRNA from 1 species
GAUGAACGCUGGCGGCGUGCCUAAUACAUGCAAGUCGAGCGAACAGACGAGGAGCUUGCUCCUCUGACGUUAGCGGCGGACGGGUGAGUAACACGUGGAUAACCUACCUAUAAGACUGGGAUAACUUCGGGAAACCGGAGCUAAUACCGGAUAAUAUAUUGAACCGCAUGGUUCAAUAGUGAAAGACGGUUUUGCUGUCACGUAUAGAUGGAUCCGCGCCGCAUUAGCUAGUUGGUAAGGUAACGGCUUACCAAGGCAACGAUGCGUAGCCGACCUGAGAGGGUGAUCGGACACCCUGGAAGUGGACCACGGUCCAGACUCCUACGGGAGGCAGCCGUAGGGAAUCUUCCGCAAAGGGCGAAAGCCUGACGGAGCAACGCCGCGUGGGUGAUGAAGGUCUUCGGAUCGUAAAGCUCUGUUAUUAGGGAAGAACAAAUGUGUAAGUAACUAUGCACGUCUUGACGGUACCUAAUCAGAAAGCCACGGCUAACUACGUG